GGGUUGUGAGGUUAAGCGACUAAGCGUACACGGUGGAUGCCCUGGCAGUCAGAGGCGAUGAAGGACGUGCUAAUCUGCGAUAAGCGUCGGUGAGGUGAUAUGAACCGUUAUAACCGGCGAUUUCCGAAUGGGGAAACCCAGUGUGUUUCGACACACUAUCAUUAACUGAAUCCAUAGGUUAAUGAGGCGAACCGGGGGAACUGAAACAUCUAAGUACCCCGAGGAAAAGAAAUCAACCGAGAUUCCCCCAGUAGCGGCGAGCGAACGGGGAGGAGCCCAGAGCCUGAAUCAGUGUGUGUGUUAGUGGAAGCGUCUGGAAA
rnacentral:rRNA from 1 species